GACAGAGGGUGCAAACGUUGCUCGGAAUUACUGGGCGUAAAGCGCGUGUAGGCGGGUCGGUGUGUCGGGUGUGAAAUCCCCAGGCUCAACCUGGGAACUGCAUUCGAAACUACCGGCCUAGAGUGGUGGAGAGGGAAGUGGAAUUCCUGGUGUAGAGGUGAAAUUCGUAGAUAUCAGGAGGAACACCAGUGGCGAAGGCGGCUUCCUGGACACCAACUGACGCUGAGACG
rnacentral:rRNA from 1 species